rnacentral:rRNA from 1 species
GAUGAACGUUAGCGGGAGGCUUAAUAUAUGCAAGUCGAGCGGUAAGUUUUUAUAGCAAUAUGAAGACCUAGAGCGGCGCACGGGUGAGUAACGCGUACACGACCUGGCCUAAACUGGGGGAUAGCCUUGGGAAACUGAGAGUAAUCCCGCAUGUGAUUAUGUUACUGAUGGUGAUAUAAUUAAAGCUUCGGCGGUUUAGGAUGGGUGUGCGUCUGAUUAGCUAGUUGGUAGUGUAACGGACUACCAAGGCGAUGAUCAGUAGGGGGCGGUGAGAGCGUGACCCCCACCA